rnacentral:rRNA from 2 species
CUUCGGAGGGAAUGCGUGUGGAACGAGCGGCGGACGGGUGAGUAACACGUGGGCAACCUGCCCUGAGGUCUGGGAUAACCCCGGGAAACCGGGGCUAAUACCGGAUAGGCCCAUCGACCGCCUGGUCGAUGGGUAAAAGCGGGGAUUUUCCUCGCGCCCCAGGAUGGGCCCGCGGCGCAUUAGCUGGUUGGUGAGGUCACGGCUUACCAAGGCAACGAUGCGUAGCCGACCUGAGAGGGUGAUCGGCCACACUGGGACUGAGACACGGCCCAGACUCCUACGGGAGGCAGCAGUAGGGAAUCAUCCGCAAUGGGCGAAAGCCUGACGGUGCAACGCCGCGUGAGUGAAGAAGGUUUUCGGAUCGUAAAGCUCUGUUAUCCGAGAAGAACAAGUGCCGGUCGAAGAGGCCGGCGCCAUGACGGUACCGGAUCAGAAAGCCCCGGCUAACUACGUGCCAGCAGCCGCGGUAAUACGUAGGGGGCAAGCGUUGUCCGGAAUUAUUGGGCGUAAAGGGCGCGCAGGCGGUUUCCU